rnacentral:rRNA from 1 species
AGUGAACGCUGGCGGUAGGCCUAACACAUGCAAGUCGAACAGCAGCACAGUAAGAGCUUGCUCUUACGGGUGGCGAGUGGCGGACGGGUGAGGAAUACAUCGGAAUCUACUUUUUCGUGGGGGAUAACGUAGGGAAACUUACGCUAAUACCGCAUACGACCUACGGGUGAAAGCAGGGGAUCUUCGGACCUUGCGCGAUUGAAUGAGCCGAUGUCGGAUUAGCUAGUUGGCGGGGUAAAGGCCCACCAAGGCGACGAUCCGUAGCUGGUCUGAGAGGAUGGUCAGCCACACUGGAACUGAGACACGGUCCAGACUCCUACGGGAGGCAGCAGUGGGGAAUAUUUGACAAUGGGCGCAAGCCUGAUCCAGCCAUACCGCGUGGGUGAAGAAGGCCUUCGGGUUGUAAAGCCCUUUUGUUGGGAAAGAAAAGCAGCAGGUUAAUACCCCGCUGUUCUGACGGUACCCAAAGAAUAAGCACCGGCUAACUUCGU